rnacentral:tRNA from 1 species
GGCUCCGCGGCGUAAUGGUGGCGCGUCGGAUUCCAAAACGGGAGACCAUCUGAAGGUUGUGGGUUCGAUCCUCACCGGGGUCA